rnacentral:tRNA from 1 species
AGAAAUAUGUCUGACAAAAGCAUUACUUUGAUAGAAUAAAUCAUAGAGGUUUAAAUUCUCUUAUUUCUA